AGUGAACGCUGGCGGUAGGCCUAACACAUGCAAGUCGAACGGCAGCACAGAGGAGCUUGCUCCUUGGGUGGCGAGUGGCGGACGGGUGAGGAAUACAUCGGAAUCUACUCUGUCGUGGGGGAUAACGUAGGGAAACUUACGCUAAUACCGCAUACGACCUACGGGUGAAAGCAGGGGAUCUUCGGACCUUGCGCGAUUGAAUGAGCCGAUGUCGGAUUAGCUAGUUGGCGGGGUAAGGGCCCACCAAGGCGACGAUCCGUAGCUGGUCUGAGAGGCUGAUCAGCCACACGGGAACUGAGACACGGUCCAGACUCCUACGGGAGGCAGCAGUGGGGAAUAUUGGAAAAUGGGCGCAAGCCUGAUCCAGCCAUACCGCGUGGGUGAAGAAGGCCUUCGGGUUGUAAAGCCCUUUUGUUGGGAAAGAAAUCCAUCUGGUUAAUACCCGGGUGGGAUGACGGUACCCAAAGAAUAAGCACCGGCUAACUUCGUGCCAGCCGCCGCGGUAA
rnacentral:rRNA from 1 species